rnacentral:snRNA from 1 species
AUACCUUUCUCAGCCUUUUGGCUAAGAUCAAGUGUAGUAUCUGUUCUUACCAGUUUAGUAACAAAACUAAUAAAGUCAAAAUCGCAUCAUUGCAUGACAUCCUAGUGAUGUUACCUUUCUCAACGACUUUUAAGCCCGAAACUUUAACAUGAUUUCUCAUGAACGGCUCAGAUCUGUAAGGAGCUGUUUGUUUAGCUCUUAAUGGAACUCUUA